rnacentral:rRNA from 1 species
UAUCUCUGUAGAGUCUGCAUAUCAAUAAGCGGAGGAAAAGAAACUAACAAGGAUUCCCCUUAGUAACGGCGAGUGAAGCGGGAAGAGCUCAAAUUUGAAAUCUUCAAGGUUCUGAUCCUUGACGAAUUGCAGUUUAAAGAAGUGUUUUCGGUUAGAGGAGUAGCUAAAAGUUCCUUGGAAUAGGACAUCAUAGAGGGUGAGAAUCCCGUAUUUGAUUAUUCAUUCUAGCUUUGUGAUACACUUUCAAAGAGUCGGAUUGUUUGGGAAUGCAGUCCAAAAUGGGUGGUAAAUUUCAUCUAAAGCUAAAUAUUGGCGAGAGACCGAUAGCGAACAAGUACCGUGAGGGAAAGAUGAAAAGAACUUUGAAAAGAGAGUUAAACAGUACGUGAAAUUGUCAAAAGGGAAGCGUUUGACACCAGUGUUGUUUUUCCGAAAAUCAAUUACAAAUGCUUGAUUUAUGUGUUGUAUUGACCUUAUCAGCUUCUGCACUUGGUUUUCGGAGUCUUUCUUGAUGCACUUUUCGGUUAACAAGUCAACAUCAAUUUCCUUUUGUUGUAAAAGAGUAAGUCGGAAGGUGGCUUUCAAUUUCGGAGAAAGUGUUUAUAGCCCUAUACUUCUACAAUCGGAGAGAUUGAGGUCUGCAGCGUAGAUCCUUCGGGGUUAGAUACACUUGUGCUAAGUUGUAGCUUUUCAUAGACAACUUGUUGACUAUGUUUAGUCAUGCGGCUUACUCACUUGUGCUAUUUUACCUACGCUUAGGAUGUUGAGCGCAUGUCUCUCUCU